rfam:Acremonium chrysogenum ATCC 11550 scaffold543 mitochondrial, whole genome shotgun sequence.
GGGGAUAUAGUUUAACUGGAAAAAUAAUAGAGUUGCAAUCUAUAGUUUCAGGGUCGGCUCCUGAUAUCUCCA